rnacentral:rRNA from 1 species
AUUGAACGCUAGCGGCAUGCCUUACACAUGCAAGUCGAACGGUGUGGCGAACGGGUGAGUAAUGUAUCGGAUCUUGCCCCGUAGCGGGGGAUAGAUAAGCGACAACGUAGAUAAUACCUAAUACUUUUCGAUCGUCCGAUAUCGGAUUAGCUAUUUGGUGGGGUAACGGCUCACCAAGGCGACGAUCCGUAGCCGGUGUCAGAGGACGAACAGCCACACUGGGACUGAGACACGGCCCAGACUCCGACGGGAGGCAGCAGUGGGGAAUUUUGGACAAUGGGGGAAACCCUGAUCCAGCCAUGCCGCGUGUGCGAAGAAGGCCUUCGGGUUGUAAAGCACUUUUGUUAGGGAAGCGGUACCUAAAGAAUAAGCACCGGCUAACUACGUGCCAGCAGCCGCGGUAAUUC